AUUGAACGCUGGCGGCAUGCUUUACACAUGCCAGUCGAACGGCAGCGCGGGCUUCGGCCUGGCGGCGAGUGGCGAACGGGUGAGUAAUGCAUCGGAACGUGCCCAGUAGUGGGGGAUAGCCCGGCGAAAGCCGGAUUAAUACCGCAUACGACCUGAGGGUGAAAGCGGGGGACCGAAAGGCCUCGCGCUAUUUGAGCGGCCGAUGUCGGAUUAGCUAGUUGGUGGGGUAAAGGCUUACCAAGGCGACGAUCCGUAGCUGGUCUGAGAGGACGACCAGCCACACUGGGACUGAGACACGGCCCAGACUCCUACGGGAGGCAGCAGUGGGGAAUUUUGGACAAUGGGCGCAACCCUGAUCCAGCCAUGCCGCGUGCGGGAAGAAGGCCUUCGGGUUGUAAACCGCUUUUGUUCGGGAAGAAAUCCUCUGGGCUAAUACCCCGAGGGCAUGACGGUACCGGAAGAAUAAGCACCGGCUAACUACGUG
rnacentral:rRNA from 1 species